rnacentral:misc_RNA from 1 species
GAGCAGCGCAAGCGGUUUAAGAAAAAUGGUCAAGGUAAUCAGUUUAAUAGAGGACAGAGUCAUCAGGGUUCUUAUCAGGGUAAUAAGCAGGGUUCUCAUUCUACAGUUGACAAUAGGGCUCAUCAAUAUGGAGUUGGUCAGGGACGUAAGCAGAGGACUCAUGCAGGGAAUGCUCGGUAUAGUUAGAUUAGCACUGGGCAUGUUUCCACUUCUUGUCAGCAUUGUGGUAAGCUAC